CGCUAGCGACAGGCUUAACACAUGCAAGUCGAGGGGCAGCGGGGGUAGCGAUACCCGCCGGCGACCGGCGCACGGGUGAGUAACGCGUAUGCAACUUGCCUAUCAGAGGGGGAUAACCCGGCGAAAGUCGGACUAAUACCGCAUGAAGCAGGGGCCCCGCAUGGGGAUAUUUGCUAAAGAUUCAUCGCUGAUAGAUAGGCAUGCGUUCCAUUAGGCAGUUGGCGGGGUAACGGCCCACCAAACCGACGAUGGAUAGGGGUUCUGAGAGGAAGGUCCCCCACAUUGGUACUGAGACACGGACCAAACUCCUACGGGAGGCAGCAGUGAGGAAUAUUGGUCAAUGGCCGAGAGGCUGAACCAGCCAAGUCGCGUGAGGGAUGAAGGUUCUAUGGAUCGUAAACCUCUUUUAUAAGGGAAUAAAGUGCGGGACGUGUCCCGUUUUGUAUGUACCUUAUGAAUAAGGAUCGGCUAACUCCGUGCCAGCAGCCGCGGUAAUACGGAGGAUCCGAGCGUUAUCCGGAUUUAUUGGGUUUAAAGGGUGCGUAGGCGGCCUUUUAAGUCAGCGGUGAAAGUCUGUGGCUCAACCAUAGAAUUGCCGUUGAAACUGGGGGGCUUGAGUAUGUUUGAGGCAGGCGGAAUGCGUGGUGUAGCGGUGAAAUGCAUAGAUAUCACGCAGAACCCCGAUUGCGAAGGCAGCCUGCCAAGCCAUUACUGACGCUGAUGCACGAAAGCGUGGGGAUCAAACAGGAUUAGAUACCCUGGUAGUCCACGCAGUAAACGAUGAUCACUAGCUGUUUGCGAUACACUGUAAGCGGCACAGCGAAAGCGUUAAGUGAUCCACCUGGGGAGUACGCCGGCAACGGUGAAACUCAAAGGAAUUGACGGGGGCCCGCACAAGCGGAGGAACAUGUGGUUUAAUUCGAUGAUACGCGAGGAACCUUACCCGGGUUUGAACGCAUUCGGACCGAGGUGGAAACACCUUUUCUAGCAAUAGCCGUUUGCGAGGUGCUGCAUGGUUGUCGUCAGCUCGUGCCGUGAGGUGUCGGCUUAAGUGCCAUAACGAGCGCAACCCUUGCCACUAGUUACUAACAGGUAAAGCUGAGGACUCUGGUGGGACUGCCAGCGUAAGCUGCGAGGAAGGCGGGGAUGACGUCAAAUCAGCACGGCCCUUACAUCCGGGGCGACACACGUGUUACAAUGGCGUGGACAAAGGGAGGCCACCUGGCGACAGGGAGCGAAUCCCCAAACCACGUCUCAGUUCGGAUCGGAGUCUGCAACCCGACUCCGUGAAGCUGGAUUCGCUAGUAAUCGCGCAUCAGCCAUGGCGCGGUGAAUACGUUCCCGGGCCUUGUACACACCGCCCGUCAAGCCAUGGGAGCCGGGGGUACCUGAAGUCCGUAACCGAAAGGAUCGGCCUAGGGUAAAACUGGUA
rnacentral:rRNA from 1 species